UGGGGAAUAUUGGACAAUGGGCGCAAGCCUGAUCCAGCCAUGCCGCGUGAGUGAUGAAGGCCCUAGGGUUGUAAAGCUCUUUCACCGGAGAAGAUAAUGACGGUAUCCGGAGAAGAAGCCCCGGCUAACUUCGUGCCAGCAGCCGCGGUAAUACGAAGGGGGCUAGCGUUGUUCGGAAUUACUGGGCGUAAAGCGCACGUAGGCGGAUCGAUCAGUCAGGGGUGAAAUCCCAGGGCUCAACCCUGGAACUGCCUUUGAUACUGUCGAUCUGGAGUAUGGAAGAGGUGAGUGGAAUUCCGAGUGUAGAGGUGAAAUUCGUAGAUAUUCGGAGGAACACCAGUGGCGAAGGCGGCUCACUGGUCCAUUACUGACGCUGAGGUGCGAAAGCGUGGGGAGCAAACA
rnacentral:rRNA from 3 species